AUUAUAUGAAUUGAUUGAUUAAUUAAUAAAUUUGAAAUUUAAAAAACAGAAAAAUAAUUGGGUGUUUCCGAUAGUAGUUGUAGCGGUCAAGCCGAGCCGAUCCGAUGACGCGAGCCACUCACACACUGGGGGUUCCCCCAACAACACGCGCCCCUCCCCGGCGACCGUACCGUAUUAUCCCCCACCCUUCCCACUCUUUCGCCUUGCCGUUUCGCUUUCUCUCUCUUCUUUCUCUUUCCGCAUUCCCUCUCUCUUUCUCUCUCUUCUUCCCCGAACCCUAAUUUCCGUUUUCCGAUGCCCGACUUUAACGACUCCAUCGCGCCGCCGUCGCGCCCCGUCCCCGUUCGCGAGGACUGCUGGUCCGAGGAGGCCUCUUCCACGCUUGUUGACGCCUGGGGCCGACGCUACCUCGAGCUCAACCGCGGCAACCUCCGCCAGAAGGAUUGGCAGGAUGUUGCCGAUGCUGUCAACGCGCUCCACGGACACACCAAGAAGACGCACCGCACAGACGUCCAGUGCAAGAACCGCAUCGAUACCAUAAAGAAGAAGUACAAGAUCGAGAAGGCUAGGGUUUCGUCCUCCAACGGUACUCUCUCUUCCUCCUGGCCAUUCUACGAACGAUUGGAUGCUCUGAUUGGCCCUAAUUUCAACGCCAAGAAACCUCCUUCCUCCUCGCCGUCUCCUUCGCCGCCUGUGGCUCUUCCGCUGCUUCCGCAUCGGAAGAACCCUUCCUCCUCGCCUGCGAUUGCGGUGACACCGACGGCCGUCGCGCUGCCUCAGAAGCGCUCCGCCGCUGCGGCGGCGAUGGACGAGGGUUAUUUCAGAAGGAAUUACUCCGCUGUUGCUGCGGCUGCGGCGGCUGCGGAGGCUGACGAAGACGAGGAGGAAGAGGAAGAGGAGGAGGCGGACGAUGUGGAGGAGGAGGAGGACGAAGAUGAAGGGAGGGGGAGCGAGGUGGAGGAAGGGGAGAAGGAGAGGGAAGGGAUGAGGAGGCUGGCGAAGGCGAUAGAGAGGUUUGGUGAAGUGUAUGAGAGAGUGGAGGGUCAGAAGCUGAGGCAGAUGGUGGAUUUGGAGAAACAGAGGAUGCAGUUUGCUAAAGAUCUCGAAGUUCAGAGGAUGCAGAUGUUUAUGGACACACAGGUUCAGCUCGAGAGAAUUAAGCGCGGGAAACGAUCUGGCUCUAACGUGCUGAACCAUGUGUGGUACAUGUGUGCUAUAUUUCAACUUUCAUAAAUGUGGUGCGGUUUUGGGUAGUUGUGUACUAAUAUGUAAGGAAGCGGCAUCUAUUAUGUGCUCUGUUCAAAUCUUCAAGAAAGGUGCAACUACAAGCACUGUAACAUGUCCCAGGUUUUCUAUCUGUAUGAAGUGAGCCGGAUUUUUUAAAGAAUGGGCUUGAGACACAGAUAAAAGGUUUGGGAGGUUGAUUUACCAAAUGUCCUUUAAUUAAAACUACUUUAAUUAAAACUAAUCCCAUUGACUCAGUUCGAUAGAUACUACUAUGGUUCAAGUUGAUAGAUUUCAUUUAAAUAUGGGUCGAUGAUGAGUUAAUGACUCCAGUUGCUACAUGAUCCCUAUUGGUACGGACGUGCAAAGCUAGGUUAGGAUCAAGGUACGACACAUUAUUUGCUUGAAGAAAGGAGGAUAACGGUGAGUUAAUGGUUUGGAAGAUAUGUAUAGCUAGCCUGGUGAAGUGGGCGAUGGUUGGAUGAUGGUGCUCGAAAAGCUGUCUUGGUUUGGGUCUAGUCGUGGGAAAAGUACAUAUCUUCAGCUGAUAUACUGUCAUGAGGGAAUAUCUCCUAUAGAAAUUUAUCCUGGAGUAAUUUUGGAUUCUUUUAGCUAGCCUUUUAUUUGUUGUUAUUAGUCCUUAUAAAUUAAAUCAGCGACUGUGCUAGGCCUAAUUUGGCUCCGAUAUAGAAUUUGCUCCAAUGUAUAACACUCUUAUGCCAAAUGCCCUCCCAUUUCCCUUUUCACUA